UACUGAACACCAGGGGAGUUGGGUUCCAUAUUAAAAGCACCAAUGGGGUCCAUAUUUCACGCAUCUCCAUCUUGGGUUAACUUAAUUCCUGUCGGCACCAAACUUUAAAAACGUAAAUCACACAGAUUAAUAUAAUGAUCAUUUUUAAUUGAUUUUUCGUUCCUGGACGAAUCGUGUAUUAUGUUUUUAUUAACCUGUUGGUGAUUAUUUUGGCAUACUUUUGCGUUUGAGCUUGAUUUUUCCUUAAUUAUUGUCGGGAUAAAAUCGUCCGUCAUACGAUUUCCCACGCUUUUUCGUCUUUUCAAACGAACGACGGUUGUCGCCAUGAGAACGACAAUCUGGCGACUUCGGAAACUCGACCGCGGAUUGGCUGGAAGCCAUCGAAUGACUAGCGGACGUCUAGUAGCGCUACUAUGCGCUGAUUGGUGGAAUCCGAUUUGCUUCAAUCCGUAUAAAAGGAUUGAGGUUAGGUGGGAAGAUUGGUUCGCCUAGGAUAUAUCAAGGGAACUUACGUUCGUCUAACUUCGCCUAAGCUGGCCUAGAGGAUUGUUUCGUCUCGCUGUGCGGUGAAUAACGUUGGAAGGAGUUCGUCACAAGAUGUCUUUUCGACGGACCUGUUUUCGUGGAUUAAAGGCGUGUGGGGACAGAUGAGUUGCGCAGGGCCGGCGCACUGAUUCGCCUAGACGGCCAUUUAACUUUUUGAAAAUACGUCGACAUCAGAAUGAAAGGUCCAUUUAUGGAUUCGAUACAGGAUCAGCAUCAGCCGUUCGAAUAGUUUUGCGACGUGAGAGGUAAGAGAGAUCGGCCAAUAAGAGGAGCAUAUCGUCGCUGGGCGACCCGGUUUUAAUGAUCGGAACAACGGUAGAAGAGGUCCAGUCUGGUGGGCAGGACUCUGAGGUCGUUUAAGAGAUUGAAGAGAGCCUAGAGGCCCACAUUUGGGAGGGUCCGUGUGCGCUUACGCCAUCUGGACUCGGUGUAGUGUUCCGAAGAUGGUGUAUGGCUCGGCGGAGUUCGAGGAGAUGAAAGGGGGGAAAUCGUCAAACUUUGGGGCCUUCAGCCGUGAUCGUCGGCGGGGAUCUCAGCCGACGGAAGAUGCGAUGGAGGGGGAGAGAGGCACACAAACGACCCCACAACUCCAGACGAGCCUGACGGCUCUUCCGACGGAGUUUCGCUCCUAAUUGUUUAUAUUUAUUCCACCAGGAGUGAGACGUCCGCCUGCAGGCUAGGCGGAACGCACGAUGUUUAAGCGCUAUAAGGCGGCUGCAUUUAUGCCCGAGGAGAGAAUGGAGCGAAUUAUAGUAUUAGAGGACCGCGUCUCACGAAUAGUGUCUACAAAGGCGUUAUAUGAGGCGGGAAUAGAUUCCUCGGUGGUCCAAAGCUGAUUGAGGUUAUUGAAAUAACGACUCCAGUUUGUAGUAAAGUGUAAACGAGGGUAGUCGUCGGGUUAGGGGUGCCCGAGAUAAAUAGUGAUCGAAAUAGGAGCGUGGUCACUGGUUAAGGUAUCCACGCAAGGGCUCCACAAGGCGGAACCUAACAGGUCCGGGGAGCAGAAGGUCAGGUCUACAGCUGAUGAUCCGUUUGGGUGGAAAUAAGUUGGUUUCCCUGAGUUCCAACAGCAUAAGUUCGCGGAUGAGAACCAAUCGAAGAGGAUGCGGCCCGCGAUGUCUGGGCGUUUGCACUCGUUAUCCCAAUAAGGAUGAUAAGCGUUCCAGUUCCCGCACACUAUGCGAGGGUGGUGAUUGCCCCGCAAAAGGGGAUCCAGUGUCUUCUCCAGUCCGGCUUUCAUCUUUCGCCGUCGACGCAAGCGACUCCACGUUGCCAGACGAAGAAAAUAUGAACGUCUACACUUCCAGCCAGCAUUAAUGUCAAUUUCUUCCGCGGCGCAAAGGUAUCGUCGGCUUUACAGUACAGGCGUAUUGUCUAAGCACGGAAGGACGACGAUGGCAGUGGGGAAAAUAUUAAAGUACUUAGUUGCAGGUUGUGUUUAUCUACUUAUCACAAAAAAAGUUUUUUUAAUACGGAUGUCCGUCAUAUCGGUUCAUAUUGUCGUAUCGGAGACAGUUUACGUAGCAUAUACUUGUGUAAUUAAUUAAAAUACGGGUAUAUAUACAGUAUAUACACGCACAACCCAUUUUGCUUAAUAUAUCGUAUUUCGGUGGUGUAAAUUUAUAUAUAAAGUAUAUUAUUUGCCUUUUCGUUUGUAAGAAUCUCGAUUUAAUUGAAUUGUAAAUAUAAAACGGACCGGACGGGAUACUUUAAAUGACCCACAAAAAUUACGAUAAAACGUAAAUACUAGUACAUUAAUUAAUAAGUCAAAAAACGAUGAAACUUGUUAUAAACGGAAGGGUGGGUUUAGGCAGAGCUCGAAUGUCCAGUUCCAAGGUGAUUUCCUAGUCGCUUCGAUGGUUGGGAAAUGUGUUCGAUAUUUUUGCGUUUAUAUCAUUUACGAUUUAAGCGACUAAUAAAAUUCGAUAUAUGGAUUUGUCUGUUUUUAUUGAUAGUUAUGAAGUAUGUAUAAUUUUUCUAAUAUUCUUCCUUUUUUAUCAUGGAAUUGCCAAACCAUGUAAUUAUUAGUUGAAUUUUAAAUAGGUCAAACAAAUUUGUUAAAAUUUUAAAUGUCAAACUGAUUUUUCUUUAAAUUUUCAUUUUCAUUCUGCUGUGAAAGCAUGUCCCCUGCAUUUAGGACAUUGUUAUUUUCAUUUAGCCAUUGGACUAAGCAGCGAGUAUGGAACUGGUGUCCGCACGGUAAAACUGUCAGACUUUCUCCUCCUUGAAUGUCACUAAUGCAUAUCACACAUGAUGUUUGAUUGGAACGACGAAUGUUAAAAUUAAGAUAAACAUUACUUGUUGCUGAAUAUAAUUUUGUAUUGUAUCCACGCACUUCUGGCACUCCUAAUAUUUUGUGGAGUGCCAUUAAUUCGUGGACCACGACGAUCGUGAUGGCUAAUUGUUGAGAAAUUAAACGGUCUAUGUCCAGAAGCAGUUUCAAAUCGUGCAUUUUGGUUUAGCAGCAGAGCAGGUGAUAAAUGCUGCGAAGUUUGUUCAGAAGUGUAAACUUGUCCCAUAUUAUAUGCAAUGGCAAUUUGUAAUUGAAUUAAUGGCCCACUAGGAGGUCGAUUAACGUUUGUUAUUCUUAUUCUUCUUCGUACAUUUCUAUUUGUUAGAAGUAAAGAUAAAUGGUCCAGAAAAGUUUGGUGAUAAGACCGCAUUCUCCUCCUCCUCAUUUCUUUCUGUGCCAGGCAUUACUUAAUAAUUAUUUAUUCUUGUUUUGUCGUAAUUUCUUUCCUUAACAAAAUGACAAUCGAAGUUCAAUGCCUCUUUGAGAAAUUGUUAGCACGCAUUGUUGAAUGUUUUAAUUGUCGGCCCAGUUUGCUGGAAAAAACAAAUUUUUUUUCUAGCAACACAUUUUUCUGACAAGUUAAAUUAAAAAAUAAAAUUAAAAUCAACUUUAGAUUCGUUGUCCAUUGUAAGCUAAAGUAUAUUUUUUUUCAACAAAAUCAUUGAAAUUCAAUUCGUUUAAUAAAUCAGACUCAAUAUUUACGACUGAAAGAUAGAACAACCUAUCAUGCAAUAUUGUAAUUCGGUAUUUUUUUUUCGUAUUUUAAUUAAGAAAAAGAACGUUUCUUAGUGCAAUUCGUUAUCAGAAAACAAAUAAAUAUGUCGGAACAGGUAAACCCUCCGUUGGGAAUUCCUUAAGGGAGCCUUCGAGCUUUCCUUGGCUCCGGGUCUCGCACGUACCAAAGACGAGCCUGAGUCAAGUAUACACUGCAAAUAAUUUUUUAUAUAAUGUUCCAAAUUAUAUAGUACUGAGAAUUUAAAAUCCACUAAUGGUCUAAAAAUCUGUCCCACCUUGUGGGUUUUAAGUCUAAUAUUAAGUUGAGGGAUAUGUACAUUAUUAAAAUUUACUAUCUUCUUAAAAUCUUGACUUGUGAACUCUUUUCUAUGUUUUCAUUAAUUUAAUUAGUUUCUUUUUAAUAUCUUCUGUUGGAUCACUUGGCAAAACUUCAUAUUCAUCUGUAGCUACUAUAUGUUUUUUCUUUUGUUGUAAGUCUGAAGUGCAUGAGAUUUAUCUGCUUUUAUAAUAGAAAUUUGUUUAUUUUUAAAGAAACUUAAUUAGUUUAUUUGUUUUUUUAUUAAUUUUAAUUGAUAUCGAAAUCGAAAAAAUGACACAAAAUGAAUAAGAUUGUUAAUGAUGAAGUAAUAUUUAAUGACGAGUGGGACUCUUCAUGUGAACAAAAUGAUUAAAUGUAAGCUAAAAUUUUAGGAAAUGGCAUAAUAGUGAUGAUAGAUAUUAUAUGUAAAUAUUAAUACUUUGUAACGCUUACCACCUAAUUUUCAUGUAAUUAUGUAUAUGGACAAAUGCACAUAAAGUUUUUGUAAUCCAUUCCCAUAUUUUUUAUUGUUAUCACUGUUUGUAAAGAAAAUAUUAUAUGAAAAUGUCUAUUCAUUUGAAUACUAUUACUUUGAUUUGUUAUUUUUUCAAAGCUUAUGCUUGCUAAAGCAUGUACCACUUUGUAUCACAAUAUCCCCUAUAUGUAAAUAAUGUAUAUAAUAUGUAAAUAAUUUGAGGUAUUGUGAAUUUUUAUGUAAGUUGGUGGAAACAAAUACCAACUCUUUAAGUAACUUGUGUACGGAAAACAAAGUUUUAAUGUUUAUAACUGCUACAGCAUGUUGCUGAAAUGUAAGUUAAUUAGUAUUCAAUAAACUUUUAUUAAAAAAAAAAAAAACAUAAAAAACGUUAAAA